rnacentral:rRNA from 1 species
UACGUAGGUGGCAAGCGUUGUCCGGAUUUACUGGGCGUAAAGAGCGCGCAGGCGGUCGGAUAAGUCGAAUGUGAAAGCCCCUGGCUCAACCAGGGAGGGUCAUUCGAUACUGUUCGACUCGAAGGCAGGAGAGGGAAGUGGAAUUCCGGGUGUAGUGGUGAAAUGCGUAGAUAUCCGGAGGAACACCAGUGGCGAAGGCGACUUUCUGGCCUGUUCUUGACGCUGAGGCGCGAAAGCUAGGGUAGCAAACGGG